rnacentral:lncRNA from 1 species
GGGCAAUUGAUUCAAGGGCAACUGAUUUGAGAUCAACAGAGGGCGCCGAUGUGCAGACUUCAUCGGCAUCAAGCAUUUGCAGCCUGUGCUGGGUUGGUGGAACAUGGGCACGCGGAUCCACAAGGUUUCUGGACUUAUCGUCUCGUUGAUAUUUACCUGUCAUCUGGUGAAUGUGGCUCAGAGCUCCAAGGUGUGGGGAGAAGUGCCGCUGCCCGAGGACCUGGAUUCAUCGAGGACUGUUGUCCAAAGAUCUCAGCGCUUCCUGGACGAUGACGAAGACUUCGCUGCCGAUGAAGCAUCAGGAGAUCUGCCCAGUGGAGAGGAGGAUGGAAGCACGCCAGAACCCACAGUGGUGACUGAGAUCAGCACAAGUAAGAACCCUGAGCUCUAAGCCCUGAGCAUAACGCUCCCUGCACUCUUGGAAGAUAAGCCACAUGGUGGGCUAAAAUAGAUCCUAAUAAACAAACACACAAAUCCCCACCAGGGUUGCCUCGUUUAAAUGGCCACCUGUCCCAUAGAUGUAUACAAAACAUUAAGAUCACCUGCUCUUUCCAUAACAUAGACUGACCAGGUGAAUCCAGGUGAAAGCUAUGAUCCCUUAUUGAUGUCACUUGUUACAUCCACUUCAAUCAGUAUAGAUGAAGAAGACGAGACAAGUUAAAGAAUGAUUUUUAAGCCUUGAGACAAUUGAGACAUGGAUUGUGUAUGUGUGCCAUUCAGAGGGUGAAUGGGCAAGUCAAAACAUUUGCCUUUGGACUAAGUGUGGUAGUAGGUGCCAGGCUUACCGGUUUGUGUCAAGAACUGCAAUGCCGCUGUUCUUUUGUUCCACUCAGUUUCGCGUGUGUAUCAAGAAUGGUCCACAACGCAAAGGAUAUGCAGCCA